CGUGACAGGAAAUGUGACAGGAAACAUGACAGGAGUUUCAGUAUGUCGUUAUUUUGGUGAAAUAACAACGAAAUGGAUGAGGUGGUGAGGACAGGGACUGCGAGAGGCUCUCAGUGUCAUUCUCUGCUGGGGACGUUUCAAGUGGCAAGGUCUCCAGAGAAAACCCCAACACUCUGAGACAUGCAGGAGCAUCAGAGGAGGACCUGAAUGAAGACAGGCACACAGACCAGCGCUGCAU